rnacentral:rRNA from 1 species
UAUCCUCAAAUCAGGCAAGAACACCCGCUGAACUUAAGCAUAUCAAUAAGCGGAGGA